rnacentral:rRNA from 1 species
CCUACGGGAGGCAGCAGUGGGGAAUAUUGCACAAUGGAGGAAACUCUGAUGCAGCAAUGCCGCGUGUGUGAAGAAGGCCUUAGGGUUGUAAAGCACUUUCAGUGAGGAGGAAAAGUUGGUCGUUAAUACCGGCCAGCCUUGACGUUACUCACAGAAGAAGCACCGGCUAACUCCGUGCCAGCAGCCGCGGUAAU